GCCUUGUGCUCACCAGCAGUGCCACGGAUCCACCACCGUCCACCACAUCCGUCUGGCCGUCUCUCCAGAAACCCCGCAGAACCCUACAAGCACCUCCCUAGCCAUGGCUGCCGCCGCCGGCGGGGCAGGCGGCCGCCCGUGGCGCGUGAUCCCGCGGCCCGUCCUCGAGACCGUCCUCCACAACCAUGCCCUCCACCCGCGCGUGCCGCAGCCGCUGCUCCUUCACGGCCCCCGCGGCGUCGGCAAGUCCACUCUCCUCCUCCACCGCCUCCUCCCGCAGUGGUGCGAGCCCCCGCACUCCGCCGCCUUCGUCGACUUCCUCCACCCCGCUCCCAGUUCCGCCGCACAAGCCACCGCCGCGCCCUGGUCUCUCCUCGCCGACACGGUCCCUUCCCUCCCCUGCCUCCGCCUCCGUCUCGAGUCCGCGAUCGAGGGGCUCACACGCUCCGCGGUACUCCGAGGUGCCGUCGGCUCCAAGGACGUGCUCGCGGCGCUCUCCCGAUCCCACGGCAUCCACAGCGCGCUCUCUCGCCUCGCGGGUCCUGCCGCUCGCCGCGCCAGGGGCACUAACCCGGUUCCGGUGCUUUGGGCGCGAGCCGUUCUAGCUGCAUCCUCCCCGUCCCAUGGUGACGACCUCAUGUUCCACAUUGACGAAGGGGAGGUGACGAACUGCUCCAUGGAGGAGAGGGCGUACAUGCAGGAGGCCAUGGCGGCGCUGCGGGUGGCCAAGGAAGUUCUCGGGAUGCAGGAGGGGUGGAGGAAGGAAGCAGUGCGGGAGAUGAAUAGGACAGGUCGGUUCUCGCGCCCACUUGCCAAUUCAGCAACAGACUGGCCGUGCCUCCUGCUGGAUGUGUUGUCAGGCGCUGCCGAAGAGGAUUUCUUCCAGCCAAAGCUGGUGCUGAACAAUGUGGAUGUACUGAGGAAGGCGACAUGCGAGGAUGAGACAAUGGUGCCCGCGGCAAUGUACCAUGAUAGCUUCAUCUGGAGGGUGAUCGCACUCGGUGCUAAUGAGCAGUGCUUGCCAGUCAUUAUGUCGACCUCAGAUGGAUACUAUUCUUCUCAAGCAUUUGUUGACUUUGGUUUUCCUAAUAUCUUCAUUUCUCGUGAGACAUUUGGUUGGACACCACAAGAAGCUAAGCUGCAUAUGGUUUCUGAAUUCUUCAAUGAGCAGGAGUGGAAAGUUGUUGAUGAGGUUCUUGGGCCAAACCCACGACUAUUAUCUGAGAUACAUAUGCUGAAGCAAAAGGUGAAUGACCCAGGGGGUUUUCAUGACACAAACAUUGAGGAAAUUAUUGACACAUACCUGGCACACUUGCAAGUAUCUGUUGUUAAUCCUGCAAUGCAGACAGCAUUAAGUAUGGUGCAGAAGUUUGCCUCUGAUGUCCGUGAGGGUAAAAUACCAGAAAACAGGUUGUGUUUUGGUGCACCUUGGAGACAUCCACCUCGGACUGACGAUCCUGAUAUCUCCCAUAAGUGGGCAAAGAUUCAGCUAAUGGAUUUUGUCCAAUCUUUUGUAAAAACUGAAUUUGGGUUGAACUACCUAGCAGAUGACAGCCUGGAAAUAUUGGAUGAUCCUGCAGCAGUCGCUAUGAUGGAGGUUGGCCUACUUUAUCAACAGAGAGAUCCGUCCUUUGUGCGACCAAUCACACGUGGGGUUCAGCGUUGUAUUGCUAGAUGGCUUGUCCAGCAGAGAUUAGAGUUGAGCCUUCAAGAAUCAAUAUCAUACUUAUGGCAACGUCUAAUGCGUGGGCGAAGCUAUCGGCACUUGAUGAAAGAAGUCGGCUACAAGUAACUAGCAGGUUAUGUCCAUAAAGUUUUCUUGUAUGUCAAGUGAUUUCAGUGGAUCAGGAACCAUUUUAGAAUUAUGUGAUGUGGAACUGACAUAUCAUUUUGAUGGACUUCUCUAGUAUCCAUAAGAAUGUUUGAGGCAUAUAUGGUUUCACGGCCACUUACAUAACAUGCAUUUACUACGAUGGAGAGAACAAAUUUCUGGGCUAAUGGAAUGCUUCCUCAUUGGUCAAGCUGCUGGCAAAACAAGCUUCUUUCCGUUCCAAGGACAACAUUUUUUUUGUUUAUACAGACCAGCAGAUGCAAUUUUGUUCUUGUUACUUUCUUGGAUUUACAGAAUUAUUUUGAAGCCAACAACAAAUUUUCUAAGGCACAUUGUCUAGUUUUUUUCGGUUGUAAAUCUGAUGCAUACUGUAAAUAUCGUACUAUCAAUUUUUCACCUUUUAUUA